AUUGAACGCUGGCGGCAUGCCUUACACAUGCAAGUCGAACGGCAGCACGGGAGCAAUCCUGGUGGCGAGUGGCGAACGGGUGAGUAAUAUAUCGGAACGUGCCCAGUCGUGGGGAUAACGUAGCGAAAGCUACGCUAAUACCGCAUACGAUCUAUGGAUGAAAGCGGGGGGAUCGCAAGACCUCGCGCGAUUGGAGCGGCCGAUAUCAGAUUAGGUAGUUGGUGAGGUAAAGGCUCACCAAGCCGACGAUCUGUAGCUGGUCUGAGAGGACGAACCAGCCACACUGGGACUGAGACACGGCCAGACUCUACGGGAGGCAGCAGUGGGAAUUUUGGACAAUGGGCGCAAGCCUGAUCAGCAAUGCGCGUGCAGGAUGAA
rnacentral:rRNA from 1 species